rnacentral:rRNA from 1 species
CGGACGGGUGAGUAAUGCCUAGGAAUCUGCCUGGUAGUGGGGGACAACGUUUCGAAAGGAACGCUAAUACCGCAUACGUCCUACGGGAGAAAGCAGGGGACCUUCGGGCCUUGCGCUAUCAGAUGAGCCUAGGUCGGAUUAGCUAGUUGGUGAGGUAAUGGCUCACCAAGGCGACGAUCCGUAACUGGCCUGAGAGGAUGAUCAGUCACACUGGAACUGAGACACGGUCCAGACUCCUACGGGAGGCAGCAGCU